AGUUGCAGCGCUAUAACUCCCUCGCCAGCGCUGCAACUUUCUGAUGUAGACAAGCCCUGAGAUUUAAUUCAGUGAAACGUUUUACACAGAUCCCCUCAGAAACAAAGAAUCCCUUAUCACUGUAUCUCAAUGCAUAGAGUCUCUGAGCAGUUUCCCAAGUUGUCUUAUCUGCUGCUGGGAUUCCCUGAAUUCCCUGAAUUUUUAAAUUUAAUUUUUUCUUUUCAUUUGAGAGCUCACUGAAUUUCUGGCCUAGUGUCAAAAUCAAUUGUUUUGAGUCAAUCCACCAAUAGCAAUUGCAUUUUUGCUACUGUUAUUUUGCCUCAAUCUAGCCCUUAGUGUUUUUCUGCAUGCCAUUGUGUACAGCUUGAUUCUCAAAUAUUCAAUAAAGGCAGGAUACUAUGUCCUGUAAUGUCUUUCUUCCUGGAAAAAUAUCUAUUGUAAUUUUUGCAGAAAAUUAGAACUACCAUCAUGGGUCAGACCAAUAGUCCACCUAAUCUAGUAUCCUGUCUUGUGACAGAGCCAAUGCCAGGUGCUUCUAAGGGAAUGAUCAGACCAGGCAAUGACUCAGUGAACCAUCCCAUUGUCCACUCCCAGCAUCUGGCAGUCAAGGGACAGUUUAGGUACAUGCAGAGUAUGGGCCUGCAUCCCUGAUUAUCUUGGCUAAUAGCCAAUGUACUUACCCUGAGGGACUGAUCUAAUUCUUUGUUCAACUCAUUCAUAGUUUUGCCUUUCAAAAUAUAAUGAACACACAUCUACAAUCCCAAGAUACUUUUACAACUACAAGAAUUCUAAAAUCAUGAGUUAUACACCCUCGAGUCUAGAAAUUUUAAUAAAUAAAUAUCUUUUUUUUUUAUGUGCCUCUUUGUUCCUGAGCCUGUAGGGCAGGGCCGCCCAGAGGAUUCAGGGGGCCUGGGGUCUUCGGCGGCGGGACCCAGAGUUGAAGGACACCGCCACCCCCAUGAGUCUUCGUGGCGGGUCCUGCAGUGGAAGGACUCCCCACUGUUGAAUUGCCACUGAAGACCCGGAGCAGAAGAAGCUCCAGGGGCCCGGGCCCUGUGAGAGUUUUCUGGGGCCCCCGAAGCGAGUGAGAUACCCCACUCCAAGGGCCCCAAAAAACUCUCAGGGGGGCCCCUGCGGGGCCUGGGGCAAAUUGCCCCACUUGCCCCACCCCCGGGCAUCCCUGCUGUAGGGUGCAGUAAGGCCAGAUCCAAUGCCUUGAGCCUAAACACCUGAAUGAAUCUUAGUCUACCCUCAUACUUUCCUGUUACUUCUCCCAAACAUUUAAUAUACCUAAGGCCGUAUCUACACUCUAAGUGUGGGUUAACUCAAGUUAUGUCAGCACAGAGUCACUACAGUUAUUAUGCCAAGUAUCAGGGGGUAGCCGUGUUAGUCUGCAUCCACAAAAACAACAAGCACCUUUAAGGGAGCAUCUUAAAGACCAAACAGGUCAGAGAGGAGGUUGUGGCCAUGGGAGCCAACUUCUUAUAAUGCAUUGUUAACUGCCCACUAAUAUCAUAUGUAUCCCAUACAUAAACGUAUACAUAAUGUUUACUUUUUUUUUUCCUAAUCCAGCAAACAAGUCUGGCCCACCUCACUGUCUGCCAUCGCAUACAGAAUCAUGGAGCUUGUGUGACUCUGCACUAUUGUCAUGAGCAUUUGCACCCAAACGUGCAUACUCCUUUACUAUUUGCAGAGCAGCAAACAUACAUGUGGGGUGUGAAAUUAUAUUCUUUCAUUUUGAAAAAAUGCUUAUGAUCUGGAUAUGACAUAGCUAAUAUAUUUUAUGCAAGAUGGCUGAUGUGGAGUAUCAUUACAAAGCUUAAGACUAAUUGACUGUGUUUAUCCAACCUGUAUGCAUGUAACACUUAUAUCUGAGGCUAGAAAUAUUGACCAUAUCUCUGUAUUUCAAAUGUGUUCUGUUGGAUGAGGCCAGACAAUGUUAGUGGCUUAUUGACGGAGUGCACAAAGACAUAAAGAUUACCCCAGGAACUGUGUGCAAUAGGAACCUCUGAAUGAUAGUAUUAUACAAUGGGGACUACUUGACCACAAUCAGAUACCUCUGUACAGUGGGUGCCGUUUGACCCAGGUCACAGCACAAGAGCCUUCCAGAAAUUGGGGGGAAGAAAGAAAAGGUGGACAAUGACAACCUACAAGAACAACCGGAAACACCUGAAGUACAGAGACUGAACAGUGCGAAGUGAUUGUUCCAGCAAUCUGGAUGAUGGGAAGACAGAUGCUUUAGCUCAGCUUAGCAUACUGAGAACGAGAAGGAUCUGACAUUAUCAACCACUGAAGAAUAAUCCAGAGAAUUGCUCAAGUUGGUUGAUGACAGUGCGACUAAUAGUGAUGAAUUUCUCGGUGACAUUGUAUUUUCUUUGAGAACAAAACCAAAUGUAACAACCAAAUUGUCACCCUAUCAACUACUGUAUGGCUUUGAGGCAAGAUUCCCAGAUCAGAUAUCAGACAACUACAUGCCAACAGAUUUUGAGGAACUUGAUGAAUAAUACUACAAAGAGAACAUCAUGAAAAUUGAAGUUAGAUGUGAUGUUGAAACUAAACUGGCUAUUAAUAAUAUUUCAAAAGCACAAGAAAAGCAACAAAGACAGUAUGCCAAAACUAAGACUCGUAAACAUGGGGAAAUAACAUUCAAGGUUGGUGACACUGUCAUGUUACUGAAUGCGAGAAGGAAAACAAGAAAGGAGGGGCAGCUACAACCUACCUAGGUGGGAUCAUACAAACUGCCUCUGUAGAGGGCAAAAGAGUUAAAUUAGAAAACAAGUUAAGGAAAGGUUUAGCAAAGUUGUACAGUAUCUCCCAACUAAAAGUAUUUAAAAAGCCUCCAAAAUUAGGUGAGGAAAACAUAUCACAGAGAAAUAUGGAAAAGGAAACUGCUGUGGAUGACACUGUGAAAACCUCAGGGGUCAGAGAAAUGGGAGGGAAUGUAUCUAACAAGCCUCACAACAGUCAAGUGGAGGUCACACAGACAGAAAAGGAGGAGUGUGUAGUGUCAAGAGUUUCAAGCAGUCAUCCAGCUGAUUUUGAUGACAUGGUUGCGGAGGAUGAUGAAGACAGUGAAUGGUUUCUCAAAGGUAUUGUUUACCACACUGUUGUUUUUAAAGAAUUUGUUGACACACUUCCAUUUAUCAAGCAUGUCAAUGGUUUCCAUGUAGGAAUGGAAUGUUUGCUUGCAAAAAUAA